ACACUCCUACGGGAGGCAGCAGUGGGGAAUUUUGGACAAUGGGCGAAAGCCUGAUCCAGCAAUGCCGCGUGAGUGAAGAAGGCCUUCGGGUUGUAAAGCUCUUUUGUCAGGGAAGAAACGGUGAAAGCUAAUAUCUUUUGCUAAUGACGGUACCUGAAGAAUAAGCACCGGCUAACUACGUGCCAGCAGCCGCGGUAAUACGUAGGGUGCAAGCGUUAAUCGGAAUUACUGGGCGUAAAGGGUGCGCAGGCGGUUUUGUAAGUCUGAUGUGAAAUCCCCGGGCUCAACCUGGGAAUUGCAUUGGAGACUGCAAGGCUAGAAUCUGGCAGAGGGGGGUAGAAUUCCACGUGUAGCAGUGAAAUGCGUAGAUAUGUGGAGGAACACCGAUGGCGAAGGCAGCCCCCUGGGUCAAGAUUGACGCUCAUGCACGAAAGCGUGGGGAGCAAACAGGAUUAGAUACCCCGGUAGUCCCAUG
rnacentral:rRNA from 1 species